rnacentral:tRNA from 1 species
AGAAAAAUAAGCUAAUUAAGCUAUCGGGUUCAUACCCCGCUUAUAGAGGUCUGCCCCUCUUUUUUCUA